AGACCCGAAACCCGGUGAUCUAGCCAUGGGCAGGUUGAAGGUUGGGUAACACUAACUGGAGGACCGAACCGACUAAUGUUGAAAAAUUAGCGGAUGACCUGUGGCUGGGGGUGAAAGGCCAAUCAAACCGGGAGAUAGCUGGUUCUCCCCGAAAGCUAUUUAGGUAGCGCCUCGUGAAUUCAUCUCCGGGGGUAGAGCACUGUUUCGGCUAGGGGGCCAUCCCGGCUUACCAACCCGAUGCAAACUGCGAAUACCGGAGAAUGUUAUCACGGGAGACACACGGCGGGUGCUAACGUCCGUCGUGAAGAGGGAAACAACCCAGACCGCCAGCUAAGGUCCCAAAGUCAUGGUUAAGUGGGAAACGAUGUGGGAAGGCCCAGACAGCCAGGAUGUUGGCUUAGAAGCAGCCAUCAUUUAAAGAAAGCGUAAUAGCUCACUGGUCGAGUCGGCCUGCGCGGAAGAUGUAACGGGGCUAAACCAUGCACCGAAGCUGCGGCAGCGAACGUAUCACCCAAGACAACUUUACGGAGUUGACGAUUGACGGAGCGAAGCGACGUCAAAGCGUUCAUUAAAGUCGAGUUGGCUUAGGGAUACGUUCGUUGGGUAGGGGAGCGUUCUGUAAGCCUGUGAAGGUGUGUCGUGAGGCAUGCUGGAGGUAUCAGAAGUGCGAAUGCUGACAUAAGUAACGAUAAAGCGGGUGAAAAGCCCGCUCGCCGGAAGACCAAGGGUUCCUGUCCAACGUUAAUCGGGGCAGGGUGAGUCGACCCCUAAGGCGAGGCCGAAAGGCGUAGUCGAUGGGAAACGGGUUAAUAUUCCCGUACUUGGUGUUACUGCGAAGGGGGGACGGAGAAGGCUAUGUUGGCCGGGCGACGGUUGUCCCGGUUUAAGCGUGUAGGUGUGUGUUCCAGGUAAAUCCGGUUCACUUUAACACUGAGGCGUGACGACGAGGCACUACGGUGCUGAAGCAACAAAUGCCCUGCUUCCAGGAAAAGCCUCUAAGCAUCAGGUAACACGAAAUCGUACCCCAAACCGACACAGGUGGUCAGGUAGAGAAUACCAAGGCGCUUGAGAGAACUCGGGUGAAGGAACUAGGCAAAAUGGUGCCGUAACUUCGGGAGAAGGCACGCUGACACGUAGGUGAAGUGAUUUACUCAUGGAGCUGAAGUCAGUCGAAGAUACCAGCUGGCUGCAACUGUUUAUUAAAAACACAGCACUGUGCAAACACGAAAGUGGACGUAUACGGUGUGACGCCUGCCCGGUGCCGGAAGGUUAAUUGAUGGGGUCAGCGUAAGCGAAGCUCCUGAUCGAAGCCCCGGUAAACGGCGGCCGUAACUAUAACGGUCCUAAGGUAGCGAAAUUCCUUGUCGGGUAAGUUCCGACCUGCACGAAUGGCGUAAUGAUGGCCAGGCUGUCUCCACCCGAGACUCAGUGAAAUUGAACUCGCUGUGAAGAUGCAGUGUACCCGCGGCAAGACGGAAAGACCCCGUGAACCUUUACUAUAGCUUGACACUGAACAUUGAGCCUUGAUGUGUAGGAUAGGUGGGAGGCUUUGAAGUGUGGACGCCAGUCUGCAUGGAGCCGACCUUGAAAUACCACCCUUUAAUGUUUGAUGUUCUAACGUGGACCCGUAAUCCGGGUUGCGGACAGUGUCUGGUGGGUAGUUUGACUGGGGCGGUCUCCUCCUAAAGAGUAACGGAGGAGCACGAAGGUUGGCUAAUCCUGGUCGGACAUCAGGAGGUUAGUGCAAUGGCAUAAGCCAGCUUGACUGCGAGCGUGACGGCGCGAGCAGGUGCGAAAGCAGGUCAUAGUGAUCCGGUGGUUCUGAAUGGAAGGGCCAUCGCUCAACGGAUAAAAGGUACUCCGGGGAUAACAGGCUGAUACCGCCCAAGAGUUCAUAUCGACGGCGGUGUUUGGCACCUCGAUGUCGGCUCAUCACAUCCUGGGGCUGAAGUAGGUCCCAAGGGUAUGGCUGUUCGCCAUUUAAAGUGGUACGCGAGCUGGGUUUAGAACGUCGUGAGACAGUUCGGUCCCUAUCUGCCGUGGGCGCUGGAGAACUGAGGGGGGCUGCUCCUAGUACGAGAGGACCGGAGUGGACGCAUCACUGGUGUUCGGGUUGUCAUGCCAAUGGCACUGCCCGGUAGCUAAAUGCGGAAGAGAUAAGUGCUGAAAGCAUCUAAGCACGAAACUUGCCCCGAGAUGAGUUCUCCCUGAGACUUAGAGUCUCCUGAAGGAACGUUGAAGACGACGACGUUGAUAGGCCGGGUGUGUAAGCGCAGCGAUGCGUUGAGCUAACCGGUACUAAUGAACCGUGAGGCUUAACCUU
rnacentral:rRNA from 1 species